UGAGGAAUAUUGCGCAAUGGAGGCAACUCUGACGCAGCCACGCCGCGUGCAGGAAGACACCCCUCAGGGGCGUAAACUGCUUUUGUACGGGAAGAAUGCCCCGGUCACCGGGGAGCGACGGUACCGUACGAAUAAGGACCGGCUAACUCCGUGCCAGCAGCCGCGGUAAUACGGAGGGUCCAAGCGUUGUCCGGAAUCACUGGGUGUAAAGGGUGCGCAGGCGGGCGUGUAAGUCAGGGGUGAAAGCCACCGGCCUAACCGGUGAACUGCCCUUGAUACUGCACGUCUUGAAUCUCGGAGAGGCUAUCGGAAUUCGUGGUGUAGCGGUGAAAUGCGUAAAUAUCACGAGGAACACCAGAUGCGUAAGCGGAUAGCUGGACGAGUAUUGACGCUCAGGCACGAAAGCGUGGGGAGCGAACAGGAUUAGAUACCCCCGUAGUCC
rnacentral:rRNA from 1 species